rnacentral:rRNA from 1 species
UCGGGAAUUUUGGGCAAUGGGCGAAAGCCUGACCCAGCAACGCCGCGUGAGUGACGAAGGCCUUAGGGUUGUAAAGCUCUUUUGGCGGGGAAGAUAAUGACGGUACCCGCAGAAUAAGCUCCGGCUAACUUCGUGCCAGCAGCCGCGGUAAUACGAAGGGAGCUAGCGUUGUUCGGAAUCACUGGGCGUAAAGCGCACGUAGGUGGGCAGUUAAGUCAGGGGUGAAAGCCCGAGGCUCAACCUCGGAAUUGCCUCUGAUACUGGCUGUCUAGAGUUCGAGAGAGGUGAGUGGAAUUCCUAGUGUAGAGGUGAAAUUCGUAGAUAUUAGGAAGAACACCGGUGGCGAAGGCGGCUCACUGGCUCGAUACUGACACUGAGGUGCGAAAGCGUGGGGAGCAAACAGGAUUAGAUACCCCCGUAGUCCCUGAGCGGGCUGGCAAGGCGCAU